AUGAAUCCACAAUCAGCUGAUAAAUAUGACAGAAAGCUUGCAGCAGUGGCAUUUCUAAUAGUUAAUAUGCCACCUAGUGAAAGUUUGCUUAUGAUCUGGAAGUCUAGACGUCCAAAAAAUUUCAAAUGUAAGUCUUUUGUGCAGGCAAAGGUUCUUUUUUUAAGUGUUAUCAAUGCACCUUCCACCACAAAAAUAAGGAUCCAUCUUAUCUUCCUUGUUUUACCAGCUCCGUACCGGCUCCGUCGCAACUCACAUCACAAUCAACCAUCUUAUCUCACACAGAAUGUCUUUUGA